UGUAUGCUUACAGUUUGGAAUUCAUUUUCUACGUACUCUUGGCGGUGGCUCCUAAAUUUCGUUUUCAAUCAUCAUCAAACCCUCUUCCAUCAAUUGUUACAGAUCUUCAAUUCAGGGAAAAGCCUUUUGCUUUCUCUUACCCCCCUCUGAUAUAUGUGCAUAGCAAAAUCAUGAUGAUUGAUGACUGUAUAUCCUUGAUAGGAUCAGCUAUUAUAAAUGACAGGAGUUUACUUGGAUCAAGAGAUUCUGAGAUUGGUGUACUUAUUGAAGACAAAGAAUUUGUUGAUUCAUGUAUGGGAGGAAAGCCUUGGAAGGCAGGAAAAUUUUCUUCGAGUCUUCGCCUUACGCUAUGGUCUGAACACCUUCGUCUUCCAGCUGGAGAGGUUUGUACAUCU